rnacentral:rRNA from 1 species
UUUGACAAGUCGAGCGGACAGAAGGGAGCUUGCUCCCGGAUGUUAGCGGCGGACGGGUGAGUAACACGUGGGUAACCUGCCUGUAAGACUGGGAUAACUCCGGGAAACCGGAGCUAAUACCGGAUAGUUCCUUGAACCGCAUGGUUCAAGGAUGAAAGACGGUUUCGGCUGUCACUUACAGAUGGACCCGCGGCGCAUUAGCUAGUUGGUGAGGUAACGGCUCACCAAGGCGACGAUGCGUAGCCGACCUGAGAGGGUGAUCGGCCACACUGGGACUGAGACACGGCCCAGACUCCUACGGGAGGCAGCAGUAGGGAAUCUUCCGCAAUGGACGAAAGUCUGACGGAGCAACGCCGCGUGAGUGAUGAAGGUUUUCGGAUCGUAAAGCUCUGUUGUUAGGGAAGAACAAGUGCAAGAGUAACUGCUUGCACCUUGACGGUACCUAACCAGAAAGCCACGGCUAACUACGUGCCAGCAGCCGCGGUAAUACGUAGGUGGCAAGCGUUGUCCGGAAUUAUUGGGCGUAAAGGGCUCGCAGGCGGUUUCUUAAGUCUGAUGUGAAAGCCCCCGGCUCAACCGGGGAGGGUCAUUGGAAACUGGGAAACUUGAGUGCAGAAGAGGAGAGUGGAAUUCCACGUGUAGCGGUGAAAUGCGUAGAGAUGUGGAGGAACACCAGUGGCGAAGGCGACUCUCUGGUCUGUAACUGACGCUGAGGAGCGAAAGCGUGGGGAGCGAACAGGAUUAGAUACCCUGGUAGUCCACGCCGUAAACGAUGAGUGCUAAGUGUUAGGGGGUUUCCGCCCCUUAGUGCUGCAGCUAACGCAUUAAGCACUCCGCCUGGGGAGUACGGUCGCAAGACUGAAACUCAAAGGAAUUGACGGGGGCCCGCACAAGCGGUGGAGCAUGUGGUUUAAUUCGAAGCAACGCGAAGAACCUUACCAGGUCUUGACAUCCUCUGACAACCCUAGAGAUAGGGCUUUCCCUUCGGGACAGAGUGACAGUGGUGCAUGGUUGUCGUCAGCUCGUGUCGUGAGAUGUUGGGUUAAGUCCCGCAACGAGCGCAACCCUUGAUCUUAGUUGCCAGCAUUCAGUUGGGCACUCUAAGUGACUGCCGGUGACA